rnacentral:rRNA from 1 species
AUUGAACGCUGGCGGCAGGCCUAACACAUGCAAGUCGAACGAGUGGCGGACGUGUGAGUAAUGUCUGGGAAACUGCCUGAUGGAGGGGGAUAACUACUGGAAACGGUAGCUAAUACCACAUACCAUCAGAUGUGCCCCGAUGGGAUUAGCUGGUUGGUGGGGUAACGGCGCACCAACGCGACGAUCCCUAGCUGGUCGGAGAGGAUGACAAGCCAAACUGGAACUGAGACACGGUGAGAACGCCUACGGGCGGAAGCGGUGGGGAAUGUGGCAGAAUGGGCGCAAGCCUGAUGCAGCCAUGCCGCGUGUAUGAAGAAGGCAUUAGGGUUGUAAAGUACUUUCAGCGGGGAGGGGUUACCUGCAGAAGAAGCACCGGCUAACUCCGUGCCAGCAGCCGCGGUAAUUC